UUUUAUAAAAUUACUGCUACUCUGGUUUAAUAAAGAUACAAAUUAUUCACCACAAGUUGUUUACAUUUGUAGCUGCUGAUUUAAUUAUGAAUUAAUAAAAAAAACUAGAAUGAUUAUUGCUUUCUUGUAAAAAAGUAAACACCCAUCUGUCAUCGUGCUAUUGGAUUAAACAAAGAACAAACAAAUAGUCGGGCACAAGGGACUUUAGAGAAAUCAUUGGCCCUAAUAAACAGCUUUGGAAUUUUGAGUAAUGUAUAUACAUUGGUGUCAGCUCCAUGGCCACUAGACCAAGAUUUUGAAGAUUAAACCAAGGGAAGUUGGAUAUGUGCAUUAGUUGACACAGAUUCCAUCCUUAUCAGUGGUCCCAAAAGUGCAAAUGCAUGCCAGCGUUGUCACCCCCUCUUUUAUCAACCACCACAACAGACUUUGAUCCUCCAAGCCUUGAGAGUUGAUGAUGAUUGGACCUUGAAACAGAUUGCAAAACAUAUAUAUUUUUUAAUUAAUUCAGUGCUUAAUUAAGAAUUUCAAGCUGGUUUAUACAGUAAUUUCAUUGCUGUUUCUUGUUCUAAAAUUUGCAACAAGGGCAUGUGGCAAGAAUCACUGUCGUAAAUGAGUAUUGGAAUCAUCAUAUUUUAAGCUCUCAAAUGGCAAUUAAAAAAAUGAAAAAAAGUUGAGUCUAUCAGGUAUAUCCAUGGAAGUUGAGGUUGAGAAUUGAUAGAAAAAGGCAGAGAGAGAAAUACCUUAUCUGAAAGUUUUCGUUUUCGAGUGUAGUCCAAGGCAGCAUUUGCUUCUCUUGGCGGCAUUAAAGAGACCAAAAACUAAUUUUCCUCCACUCAUAAACAACACCCCUAUCUGCUUUGCAAAAGCCAACAAUUCCUUUUCUCUC
rnacentral:lncRNA from 1 species